CCCCUAUUGGUAUUUAGGGCCCCCACCCACUGCUCAGGGGUGGGGGCCAUGGGGGAGGACAUUAGGUCCCCCCAAAUGGUAUUUAUGGCCCCCACCCAAUGCUCAGUGGUGGGCGCCAGGGGGAGGACAUUAAGUCCCCCCCAACUGGUAUUUAGGGCCCCCACCCACCGCUCAGGGGUGGGGGCCAGGGGGAGGACAUUAGGUCCCCUCCUUAUUCUAUUUUAGGGCCCCCAUCCACCGCUCAGGGGGGAGGACAAUAGGUACUCCCCCUUUAUUCUAAUUUAGGGCCCCCACCCACCGCUCAGGGGGGAGGAUAAUAGGACCCCCCCUUAUUCUGAUUUAGGGUCCCCACCCACCACUCACAUGUCUAGUACAGGGGGACUGGAUGAGCCUCGCUGCCGCAUUCAUUAUAGAACGUAAUGGGAAGGUUGGGAAUAUGUGAAAACAAUUAGGAAGCGGAUUGCAGUAUUCAAGGCGAGAAAAACAGCGGCAUGGACCAGCACCUUAACCGCAUCUGGAGUUAAAUAGGGGCGGAUACGCACUACAGUUGCAAGAAAAAGUAUGUGAACCCUUUGGAAUGAUAUGGAUUUCUGCACAAAUUGGUCAUAAAAUGUGAUCUGAUCAUCAUCUAAGUCACAACAAUAGAUAAUCACAGUCUGCUUAAACUAAUAACACACAAAGAAUGAAAUGCUGC